GCACGACGAGCAUCAGUGGCUCAAUCGCCCCCGGGCUUCGUCCCCAUUGUCACCUCUCCCCCUCCACCGCGGUGGCCAUUCCAUCCUUCACUACCGCCGCCGCCGUCCAAUGCUAGGCCAUCGUCUACCCAAGGCAGGAUACUGGCCGGCCUCCUCAUCGGCGUCGUGGCGUGCUUGAUCGUGUUCACCGCCGUGUGCACCCUCUGCAGGGAGUACCGCGACCGCCGCGCUCGAGCCGCGGCCGCCGCUUGGCGGUGGCCCGUGCCGGAACGCAAUGGCGUGCGCGUCGUUGGCGAGCGGCAGCUUGGCCGGGCCUACGCCGCCAGCCCCACGGCCGGCCUCCCGGCGUUCACGUACAGCCCGUCCGUGAAGCGCAACAUGACGGGCGGCGGGGAGGAGGAGGCGGCGACGUGCUCGGUGUGCCUCGGCGCGCUGCAGCUCGGCGAGACGGUGCGGCUGCUGCCGGCGUGCCUGCACAUGUACCACGCGGAGUGCAUCGACCCCUGGCUGGACGCGCACUCGACGUGCCCGGUCUGCCGCUCCGACACCGGCCCGGCCGCGGGCGUCGGCCGGCCACCGUCUGUUUAG
rnacentral:rRNA from 1 species